rnacentral:tRNA from 1 species
AGUCUUAUAGUUUAAGAAAAACGUUAAAUUGCAAAUUUAAAAUUAAAUUAAUUUAAGACUU